CAGAGUGGCUGCUGAUGGAUACUGGAGUGUUUGUAUUUGUCUCUGAAGAUGGAGCGGACCGGUUGAACAGGGCUGUCUCCGGAGAGCAGCCAGGCCAAAGCCAUUGCCCGAGGCUCUACCCCGGGGCCUCCCAGCCCAGUACAGCACCACUGAGGCACCGGGACUUACCUGGGACUGCCUGCAGGGACAACAAAGAAACCAAAACUGAAGACGUUGUGAAGUCUCCCCAGCAGUGGUCCCAGCAAAGGCCCCACACAGGCUGCCAAUGAGAACAAGAGCUGGUGCUUUAAAAGAAGCUUCACUACAACACGGCACACCUCCCUCAGGGAGCCUCCAUCCAAGGUCAGCGCUCAAAGGCAGGGUGCACCAUGGGAAAUGAGCCUGAGCGAGUGUGUGCCAGCCUCCCGCUUUUGUGGGAUCAGCACGGCAUCAGAAGGAUCGGACUGACACUAGUGAAGUCUCCCGGUAUCACCUAUCACUACCUGUUUCUGCCACAGAGGAAACCAAAGGCCUGCUCUAAUUGUAUCAUUAAUAUCAUUGCAGUCUGAGGGCCAAUUAUUCUCUCUUUGAGUUUCACCUGCCCCAACCUUGAAUCAGGCUCUGCUAGGAUAUUUGAGCACAGACUGGCUGUGUUAGUGAUAGAGGAGCUUUCCAGUCAUCUGUGAUCAAAGCUGUAUGGAUGCUGGCCUGAAGACGCAACCAAGUUCAACACACAACAUGCCUCAAAUGGCUUCUAAUAAGGAAACAAUGCAGUGUGGUGUACAGUAUCUAAUGAUGUACAUGCACAUGCUGACCUCUAUCUGCAAUCGGGUGCUCACAUGCACCAUGACUUCAUUAUAUCAAAUUGGUUUGCUAAAACUCCCAAACUUAGUUUAAUUUUUAAGCUCCUGAGACCCUGCAUCCUCAUCUUAAGACAUUAUAUUUUGGCUUUCCUGCACCUCAUACUUAAUUUUGCUUAAGUUAUGGUCCUGUACAGUUAAACUUAAUUCACCUAAAACACCUAUCCAAGGCAAACCUAAAGUAAAAUGAAAGCUGUUCUUGUUCCAUUUUUAGUACAUGGACAUGCAUGGCCUUAUUUGAAAGGUAGCACUGCAAUUUUUCCUGAUCCUUGAUCACGAAUGAGUUAGCGAUUUAGAACAUGCAUACAAAUAUAAAUGUUUAAACUUUUGUCAAUAUGGAGAUGCUACACAUCGUUUGUUUAAUUAAUUUGGUUUUACUGAAUUCAUGAGCACCAGAGAAGAGUGUAACUCAUUCAGAUUUACCGGCAUGAUGAAAUAAAGUGGUGACUUCCUUCUUCUGAAGCUGUCAUCAAGUCAGAA